rnacentral:tRNA from 4 species
CGGAGCGUAGCGCAGCCUGGUAGCGCAUCUGCUUUGGGAGCAGAGGGUCGUGAGUUCGAAUCCCACCGCUCCGACCA